AAAGGGCCGCGGUAAUUUGACCGUGCAAAGGUAGCAUAAUCAUUAGUUUCUUAAAUGGGAACUUGUAUGAAGGGCUCGAUGAAUAAUAAGCUGUCUUGUAUAUAAAGUUUGAAUUUGACUUUUAAGUGAAAAGGCUUAGAUAAAAUAAAGGGACGAUAAGACCCUAUAAAACUUAAUAUUAAAUAUAUUAUAUUUUAUAUUUAAAGUUUAUUAAAAAAUAGUUUGUUUAUAUUUUACUGGGGCGGUAAGAAUAUAACUAUUAACUGUUCUUUGUUAAUAAUCAAUGAUAGUUGAGAUAUAAAUGAUCCUUUAUUUAAAGAUUGAAAGAAUAAGUUACUUUAGGGAUAACAGCGUUAUUUUUUUUGAGAGUUCUUAUCGACAAAAGAGAUUGCGACCUCGAUGUUGAAUUAAAAGGUCUUUUUAAUGUAGCAGUUAGAAAGGAAGGUCUGUUCGACCUUUAAAUUUUUACAUGAUUUGAGUUCAGACCGGCG
rnacentral:rRNA from 1 species